AUCCAGUUGACAAGUCCCAAAUAUGAUGAAACGUGCGUCCUGGAU
rnacentral:hammerhead_ribozyme from 1 species